rnacentral:lncRNA from 1 species
ACCCCCCCGGUUCUCUCUUUUUCUAUCUCCCUCUCUCUCCCUUUCUCUUUCUCUUUCUCUCUCUCUCCAUCUCUCUCUUUCUCUCUCUGUCUCUCUCUCUCUCUAGCGCGCGUGCACGGGGGGCACGGGUCGCGCGCACGCCCCACCGGUUCUCUCUCUCUCUCUCCCCCUCUCUUCCUUUCUCUCUUUUUCUCUCUCCCUAUCUCUCUAUUUCUCUCUCUCUCUAAACCUCCUUAGAUCUCCAUUUUUCACUCCUCAGCUUCCUUUUUUUUGUGUGUAGCAGCGACAAUACUCUUUCUCUCUCUCCCUGUAACAUACCGAACUUCUAAAACUUUGAAGUUACGGUGUACAUUUGGUUGGAAAGCCAUUUGAAUGGUCUCGGUGAAAUUCGGUGAAGUUCUGGAGCAAUUGGGCGUUUCGGUGCGCAUAGGUGCGGAAACUGGACCCGAAAGGCUAUAUUAGACCAUGAGAUAAAUCCAGCAUUAGCGUGGAUGAAAAGAUGAUGAAAAUAUGUUCGAAAACAUGUUUGGAGAAUCUCGGUUCGAUUUGAAAAGAAUCGGAGGUCAAACGAGCGAAAACGAGCGAAAACAUAGCGAAAACGGACGAAGCUGAAAUUUGGCUAAGUCUGGGCUAGAGGUCCCUCUGGGACCGUGUAAUACACGGAACUUUUGCAAAUUUGCGGAGUUCGAGUGUGUGGAAUGAUGUGUGGAUCAAUCCUACAUGUUCUAAAAGGUUAGAACAAGUUUUUGGAUAAGUUAGAGGAUGAUUGGAAUGCUAAAAGUGAGAAAAUGCAUUGAUCUGCGAAAAUCGGCAUUUUUCUGCUUGUUGUACCGGUACAGCCAUCACCUUGUACCGGUACAGCAUUGACAGAUACGUGGCAGUAAGGCUAUUUUGGUCAUUUCACAUUUGAUACUUAUCUAUACCCCCCAUGCACGACCCGGGAGCUCAGUGGAGCUUGCUGGAGACCAGAGAAAGCCUCUACCAUCUUCUUUUCUCUCUCUCUAAGAUUUUUCUCUCUCUCGACAAAGAAGUCGCCGUUUUGCACCGUUGUCAUCGCCGAGCUCGCUCUUCGCUGUUUGGGAGUGUCGCUCAGCCUUGGUGGACGUGUGAGGGAGUGUUUUGGAGAGCUUUUCGCAGCCCUGGACCAGUAACUCACUGGUUGCAAGCUUGAGAAGGUAAUCGGCUCACUUUUUCAAUUUUCGGCAAUCUAUUGGACGAGUUAUGUAUAGUUUCGGGAUUGUUGCUUCUAGUUGCUUUAAUCUGAGAUUUCAGCAAUUAAAGUUGGAUUAAUUAGCUGUGAAUUAACCUCCUUAGACCAGGGUUAAGCUACUUUGAAGCUUAAUGAAAAUAUUU